UCUACUCAUCAGUGCUGAGUAUAAUUACAAUAAUUGUGUUGGCUUAAGCAACUCUUUCUGGUUUUUGAGUCAUCAUUAAAAAUUGGCAUUCUAAAAAGAAGCCGAAAGGUAGGAAAUUGCAAACAUUAAGUUUUCAAAAACCUGUCCAGCAUUGCCUCAAGGCCGCUUGCCGUUUAUUUCUGCGAAAUUGAAUUAUUUCUUUUUUGCUGCACAAAAUUAGCUUGAAAGCGGUGGCGUACAAACAAAUGCAUACCUGCGUCGUGUGUGGGAAUAGGUGAUAAUUAACUUCGCACAAUUUAAAGAAAAUAAUUAUUAUAAAUUAAUUGUAAAAAGCGGUUUAGAGUAUUGCAAAUUAUAAAGUCUGUAUAGAGGAAAAUUUAAAAUAUAGUUAGAAAAGUCGAUGAAGCAAAAUAGAUUAUGAAAGAAGUGACAAAAUUUCAUGAAAAAAUUAAAAAAAUAUUACAAUAACAGAAUAAUUUUUUUUACAAACAGUAUACAAGUAACUUUAAAAAUUUUAAUUUUUUUAUUGCGCGAAAUAUAUUAAUAAAUAUGUAUUUAAAGCAAAAUAUAAAAUUAACAACAAUAAAUAUUAGUAUAUAAAAAAAAAAAAGAUAAAUAAUAAAAAUAAACUAAACUUAAAUGAAACACCUGUACGCCUAAAAUGAUUUUACACAAAAUAUUAAGCUUAAAAUGUAAAACACUUUUUCUUAACCCGCGAAAAAUUCUUCGAAAAAUCAAUAACUAAUUCCUUUCCAGUUAUUAUCUUUAACGAAUUUCGGUCCGCAAGUAAUUUCCAUUUCAAUUCCACCUCAAUGACAAACACCUCCACAGCAGGUAAAAACCUUCUUAAUCCACCUUAUCUCAUAACAGAUCUCUCACCGUAACAUCGUAUUUAUGUAUACAAUAUGCACUCACCGUUACCGUUACUUUACGUACAUUAUUUUCCAUUCCCUUUUAAUUCAACAUAAAUUUCCAAGCCGCACCGCCUUAUCCGGUUCUAUGCUAUAAAUUUCAACAACGUUUGCAUGUCAUUGUCGAAUUUAAUGAGCAAGAAAAAAUGGUUCACACUGAAAGUAUCAAUUUUCAAAAUUUGUAUAUUAAAGUAAACCGAACGAAAGCUCCUAAUAACAACCUACACUAUGCAACACAAUUAAUAGACCGCUAUUUUUAAUGCUAGUGGUGUUUUAGUGGUUUCUCUUGUGCAUGGUUAUGUAAAUUUUUCUCAAUUUCUCAGAAUUUUCUGUUUUCUUAUAUAUGUAUGUAGAAGUGUGCAUAUGCAUGGGUUAAGUGCACUACUUCCCUUCCAAAUUGUUUAUUAAAAUGCGGGUCAACUGGGCACUAUAAUCUGACUACUAUUUCGUUUGACUCAUAGUUAGUGUUUGCGGCAGUCAUUGCGUUUUCUUUUGUUGUUUUUUUGGAGAGUGAAGCGUGGAAAAGAUUUUAAACGCAUUUAUUGGAAAAAUUUCAAUUUUAUUAUUUAUAAUUUUAUUAUAAAAUUAUAAUUUAAAUUUGUGAAAUAUCGGCUAAAAACUAACUAAAAUAUCACGCAACAUAAAUAUUAUUACAUAAACUUAUUAUAUUCUAGUUUAAUUAUAUUUUAAUUGCUCUUCGCGCAUUAUAUUUUACACGGAGAAUGCAAAAUAAUAAAAUUACCCAUUUAUUUGCAUAGUUAAAUCGACACAAAUGGUGUGUUUGUUUUCCAAAAGAACACGCUUUCAGCAAACCACCUGACGGAAAUGAUUCUAAUAUAAUUUCCGGUUUCCUUUUCAACCAUUCAUAUACAUUUAAGUGCAACAUUGUUGUAUACCAUAUAUGUAUGUAUGUAUCUAUAACCGUGACGUCAAAAUUUGCCACAUUAAAUCGGACAAUUCAAGUCAAUAAUUUUCAAUUUUAUUGUUGCACAUAUUCGUAUAUGCUUACAAACUCGUAUAUAUACAAGUAUGUGUUUUUCUAGUAAAUAAAUAAUUCAAAUUGGCGUUGCAUCAUGCAAAACAAAUUAAAAACUAAAUGAUUUUACAAACAUUUACACAACCAUUGCAAUAUAAGCGUUUCUAUUAUAUGUAUGUAUAUGUCUGUAUGUAAUAUGUUAUAUGUAUAUACGAGCAUUGCCAAUUAUUUUAUGAAGUAGUAUUUAAAAAUGAACGCUCGACUAAUUGUGCAAACCAAUCCGCCCCUCCGUCAAUAUUUGCAAAUUUAUAGAAUCGCUCAAGUGUGGAAAAUACAUUAUUAUUAUAUACUUACAUAAGUAUGUAUAAAUAUAGUGUUUAUAGCGAAAAAGCGCAUCCAAUAGAAUAUUGAAAAGGAGAUUAGAAUAAAAUCGAAACUCAUUAAAAGUAAAUAUAAUAGCAAAUUACAUGAGCAUUAGUGCAAACACAAAUUAUAUAUUCCUGAAGGCAGUAACAUUUUUUUUAUUAAUCUUUAAGGUAAAAAUACAUAAGUAUAAUUUUCAAGCCAGCCAUACAGCGCUAAUUGCUACAUAACUAUUGUACAAUAUAUAUUUUUGGGUUUCUUCCACCUUCGUUGGUUUUGGUUAAUUAUUUGGCUUAUAGUCGUCAUCGCAACCGUUGUCAUAAGUUAGAAUGAAUACUUGUAUAUACAUAUAUACCUGUCUAGUGAUCUUUGUUUAUAUACUUUAGUAUAAAUAUAUUUAGACAUUUUUAAACACUUAUAACGUAACGUUGGUUAAUUGCUCCGCUUGUAUACAAGUAGUACUCCGACACGAGGCGGGAAUGUUUGUUUUAUUUUUGCGCAAAAAGCACAGCUGACAUAUUUUGUGAAAUAUAUUUAGCCGCUGACGUCAAAAUAAUUAGCGAUUUAUGUAUGAAGAAAUGACAAAAAUAUUUUAUACUAAGACAAAAAUAUCUAUGCUAUUAUAAAGUGAAAGCUCUUCAUUAAAUUCGUUCAAGCUUUCACAAAGAAAAUUGAAAUGCUUGAAAUGGUUAAAAAAUAUACUGCAAACGUCAGUUUAUGAACAUUUUUAAUAGUUUUUAUAUGAAAAAUUUCUGUAAUAAUCAUUCGAGCUUUCACGCAGAAAUCGAAAAGCUGAAAUUACUAAAAAGAAUCUGCCGAAUAUGCUAAAUUUAAGAUUUCCUUUUAAAGAUUUUCAACGGAAACUACUUAAAAAUCUUUUGAGCUUUCACACAUAAUUAAAAAUGUUUGAAAUAAUUAGUAGAUUUGGUCAUAAAAUUUGGUUUUAGCUUUGUUAUAGCUUUUGCUGUUACUUAACAUAAUUUAUUAUACAACUUUUGUUACGCUAACUCGACAAACACUUAAUUCAAAAUAAGUAAUUUUCAAGCAAAAUGUUAGUUUUAUAGUUGAAAACAUCAUUUUUAGGAUUUUAAAAAAUCUUGUACAAUAGCUUCUGCAAAUAGCUUAAAUGCUGCUUUUGCAAGAACAUUUCACUUUUACACUUUAUGACGUAAAAUUCAAGCAAUUACACUAAAUAUUCAAUUCGUUGCUCUCUCCCAUCAGCCAUUCAUCUACUUUCCUGGAAGCUUUCACCAAUCGCAUUCACUUCAUUGUGGUUAUAAAUUUGAAGUGUUUACUUUUUAUGACUUUCGUUUUUGAGAAUGUUCUUUUUGCAGUUUUGAAGUACAUGAAAACGAUACUUCAAAUAGCAAGCUUAAAACAUAAAGCUUUGUUGUGAGUAGUGCUUUAGUAAGUAGCUUCUUUGUAACAAAAUUUGGAUUUUUUACACUACCAUUGCUUCAAUUAUUGACAAUUUUAAUCAUGGGCAUAUUAAUAGUAAAUAUAUAAUAUAUUAUAUAACAUUUAUUUUUUACUUCAAGUAAAAAGCACGUACCAAACUUACGAUUCGUAUUUCCAAGCUAAUCAGAAUGUUGUUAGUGGCCGCAUAUGAACACGAGGUUCUAAUUAAUGACUUUGAAUUUAAACAAAACAAAAACACAGUAAUUAAUUCGAACUUAAUAAAUUUAAUAAUUAUACCCUGAAUAUAUAAUAUUAAGUUUGCCACGACGUUUUUAACGCCCAGAAAGAAACGAUGGAGACCCUAUAAAGUAUAUAUAUAAAUGAUCAGCGGGACGAGCAGACUCGAUUUUGUUAUGUUCGUCCGUCUGUAUAUACGCGAACUAUUUCUCUCAGUUUUUGAGGUAUCGAAAUUUUGUACACGUUCUUUUCUUUCUAAGAAGCUGCGCACUUGUUGCAUACAAACUGAACGAUCUAAGUCAAGUUCUUGUAAGUAAAACUUCUUUAUUUGACCAGAUGUCUUUACGAAAUUUGGCAUGGGUUAUUGCCCAAGCCAACGGUACAAAAAACAAAUUAUUCAGAUUGGAUCACUAUAGCAUAUAUGUAGCUGUCAUUAACAGUGAUCAAUCAAGUCAUUAUAUGGAAAAUUUUAAUUUGUAAAUGAUAUUCUAGUUUCGGUGCAACCGAAGUUGAGGUUUUUCUUGCUUUUUUCCUAGUUUUGGUACCCAGAUGUGGGAUGUACGUACUUCUUUCGACCAGUGUGGUUGUGGUCUUUGCUUAGCGAAGCGUAGCAACCAGCCAAGCAAUAUUUCCGUGUGUCCGCCAACAUUCUGUUGUUCAGAUAUUCAUACAUACAUAUGUACAUAUGUAUGCACUUAUAUAAAUUAUACAUAAGUAUGUAUGUACAAGUAUAUGCUGGUGAAUGAUAAAGAACUGUUGACUAACUGCGGACACGUUGAACGCAUAAAUCAAAGAAAUAUAUUCAUAUAGGUAUAGGUAUGUGCAUACAUGUGUAUGUCUGUAUAUAUACAUACAUACAUAUUUAUGAAAUCAAGCUUUUUUCGACUCGAUUACGAAUGUUGUUACUUUGUGGCUGUAGCUUUAUGAAGAGCGGAGGCCAGUCAAUGAUGAUGUUUUUGUGCUGCUACUAACUAAAACACAUUUAUAAAUGUAUGUAUGUAUGUAUGCAUAUAUUUAAAUAUGUAGUACAUACAUACAACAAAAUUAAUCAGCCAACUGGUCGGAGCAGUCAUUAAAACCUGCUGUUCAAUAGGACUGUGUAGCGUUAUUGAUGAUCAUGCAAUUACUGCUUCUACAAUACAUACAUACAUACAUAUGUACGUAUAUUACGAACCUAUGCAUUUAAAUAAACAACUUGUUAAGCGAAAUUGUUGCUAAAAAUGAAAUAUUGCUGAACAAGUUUAAAAGCGGGUAAAAUAAAUACAAAACCAUGCCAGAAAAGAUAAAUAAAUAAAAGCGCAAAUAUAAGUAAAUAUGUAUACUACAUAUGUAUGUACAUAAGCAUGUGUGUAAAUGUACACCUCUUUAGUCUUAUACGUACAUACAUAUAUACUAUAUGUACAUAUGUAUAACCGAACAAGAAGUUCAAAGCAGCUUUAAUAGCGCACUAAAACGCAAAAGUAACAGAAAGCGAAUAAAAAUGCAAAACGAAAAGUAAAAAAUAAAAAUAAAAGUUGAUGCAUAAAUGCUGCAACAAGCUAAUGAAGUCAAAUAUAUACUUACAUGCAUUCAUAUGUUUAAAUGUAUUGUAGUUGUUACAAAUACAUGAGACUAUGCAGUUAUAAAAGCAAAAUAUUCAAACAAGUCUUAAUACCGACACCCAUACAUAUGUAUGUACACACACACUUUUGUACAAACAAUUGCUUUCGGCAGGGAAGUAAGCACUCCUUUACACAGUUGGUGCAUACAAUACGCCCCCAUAAAACACUGUCAGCUCAAAGUCAGCUGCCACAAGUACCAAGAAGCAGAACGUCAACGCCGACGCCAACACUAAUGCCACUGCAAAAACUGCAAAUGCAAUCUGACAAGCAAAAUAAAAGCAAGAAAUGCAUUGCCUGCGUCAAUUGUGUAUCUGCAGUUACAUAUUUACUCCAUCAACCCAGCAGUCGCGCUUGCAACGGAGGCGCGUUGAGAGAGUGGUGUAUGCGUGAAUGACGCAUUGGUUUCCUAAAUAUUAGAUUCCCUUUAAAACUUUGCUGAGAACCGACCACUUUUGAGAAAGUAUUUUUUUAUAAUUUGAUAUUUCAACACUUUGUCUAACGCGGAAGUUAAAAAUAUAACGUACCAUCAAAUCAUAUAUGUCCCGAACUUUAGUACAAAUCUUUAUUAUCGCCCCCAAACGGGAGCGUCCACACAUUCCAAUGCUUAAUGCAAUUUUCCAUACCCUGGCUCGACUGGGAUGGCGCUCAGUGUUUUCAGCGUAGUGAAGCAUUUUUUUUUUUUAACCCCUACUUGACAUCGUUUUUGCAAACGAUUCAGAAUUUUUGGUUCGAGUCUAGCAUUAAUACACUUCAUAGCCAAAACAUUAACCGAAAUGUGUUGAGUCAAUCCAUAAGAGAUGUUAAGAUUAUGUGCUAUAUUCCUGAUGUCAACACAACCAUUCUCAAGCACUCUUUCUUUAACUUUUUCGAUGUUAGAGGAAGUGACUCGCAUGAAUCAAAUUUUUGAUGACUUCACGACCAUCUCUGAAUGCUUUGUGCCAUUUAAAUAGUUGCGUUCGCGAUAAUUUAUACACCCCAUAAUACUUUUGCAGUUUCUUAAACAAUUCCGUAGCCGUGAUUUCAUUCGAAAUACAAGAUUUCAAACAAACUCGUUGUUAAAUUUUGUUCAAUGGGUAAAACCACCCGACAAACAAAAAACACACACCUAUUAGCAUAUGGAGAUCAAACUUCACACGAACAUAAAAAAGGUUGUAACAAACUAAAACAAGUUUUUUUGUUUUAUCUAUUCGAUUUGCGCCCGCAGUUUGGACAAGUCCGAAUCAAAUUAGAUCAGAUGAUAUUAUGACUAUUAUAUAGUCAGUGGACUGGAGCGUCCUCCAAUCCCUAUUGGCAUAGUUCUAAGUGGAUUUUAAUCGACUUUACCUUCAGGAGAAAUAUUUAGUUCAGUUUGAUGUGUAUUUUUUUCAUAUCAGACGUCUUAAAACAGAGGGACAUAUGUUUUUGCGAUCAAGCCCACUACCAUCGAAUAAAUUCAUAGGAAAGAGGGAACUUAAUAAUGAACUUCAGUUUAUCGAAGUAUUCUUACUGUUAUUUCAUUUUUAUGCAGCUUAACUUGACUUUCAAUCAAUUUCGCUAACUUCAGAACUAAAUAUUUACUUUAUUCUCACAUUAAUUGCUUUUCAACAGACCCUAAUAAGUAUACUACAGGUUUUACAAAAAUAAUCCUUUUCUCUCAAUCUAUGUAUGUGUAUCUGCUAUAUAGAUACAUAAGUACGUGUGUACAUACAUAUGUACAUGGAAUCAAAUUUACUUCAUUCCACAGCUGACAAGAAACAAUGACUAUUCGCCCUCACACAAUCUAGCCCACAAGCUAGUAAGAGUAUGUGCUAAUACGUGUAUGAAAUGCUGAAAAACACACCCUGUAAUUUAAAACGUGACUCGGCCUUAGUUGCUAUGCACGUACAAAUAUAGAUAUGUAUAUGUGUGAUUUUUCACAUAAAUUUAUUUGGAGUGAGACGUGGAAAAUCAACAAACCGUAUUGUGCAAUGCCAGCGUUGACGAGCGCGUGCAGCGUUAUAGCCAGCGUCAGCGUGAGCGCAGACCCAGCAACUGCGGGGUUCCCAGCGCCAUGUCUGUCUUAAUUAUGCUGAUGUCUAUUUAAAUGUGCGUGCAGACGAAUGCGUAAGGUUGAGGGGAAAUAAAUAUACUAUGUACGCGCAUAUAAGUUGUAACUUAAAUUUAUACCACCAUAACUUUUCACCACACACCACAAGUUUUGCAGUUGGGCAGCGAUGAGCAAAUUCGUAGGAAAACAUGCUUUCUAGCCACUUAAAUCGCGGAAUUUUUAUAGAAAUGUUUGAUUUUACUUUGAAACUGAGUAAUUACAUGUAUUCAAUUUACUCUCUUGCUUACUGCAGUUAUGUAAAGUAAAAGGAAUAUGAGCAUGGUGUGGUGAAUAGACUCUUCCUAUGGUUUCAAAUGCAUUACCGCUCAUAUGUCAAAUGAUAUUCGGUUUCGUACGAGUCAAAUUACUUUGUCAAAAAGGUGCAUAUAUGCAUGCAUGCUGGAUUGAUACCAGCUGUUAGUGGCGGGGUUGUGCAUACCCAAUGUCUGAGCAUAUAUUUACGUUUUGUAAUGUCAUGCAGUUGUGCUGUCAACACGCAAUGACUUUGCUCUUUCUGCUUUUGACAGUUUGAAUGAUUAACUCACCACAUGAUGGCGCACAGUGCUGCACUACCUCUACUGAUACAGCUGACAUAUAAGUGUGGUGAAAUAGCCGUUUACAGAAACAUGUUAGUUUUUCUUUGAGUGUGUGCGUGUGCGAGAUAAAUUUACUCAAUUCAUUUUUCUUUUGCUCUGGUAUUGAAUUUCUGCCAGCCAUAAGGUCACAUGUUACUGCGCAUGUCACCCACUCAAAACAAACACACCACAGCAUGAAAUGCAUUUUUCAGUGGAAGUUUUUUUAGAAGAAGUUUGUUCUUCCUUGUAUUUAUUUUAUAUUAUUUUUUUAAUGUUUUGCUUUUUCGUAAUGUGUUGCUGGUAGUGUUUCUUACCACCACUAGUGUUUUUCGCUGUCCGCUUUAAGCACGUUCCAUUUUUGUAAUCUACCAUAUGUUUGUGUGUAUGUUUAUUGACUUUGGCGUAGCUUUUGUGUCGUAUUCUUUUAUUCAGAAGUCUGCGCUCCCAUCGCGGUUUCAAGCACGCAGGCCAGCCAGCGAACCACAAAGUCAAGCUUGUAGUAUUCGUGCAUGUUUAAGCGUAUAGUACAUACAGUUAUUUUGUUAGCGUAAAAGUCACAAAAAACAAGAAGUGCUUUGCUAUUUAAAAUUAUAAAAAAAGAGAGUAAACAAAAAAAAAUUAUUAAAAUGUUUAACAUAAAAAACGUAACAAAAAUUUUGAAAUAAAAAUUCUAUAAAAAAACAACGAAAAUUAAUAUGAAAAAUAUAUACAUAUUUAUUCAUAAAUUAAAAAAAAGAAACGUCGGAAGGUUAACUAAAAAUUAUUAAAAUAUAUACACAAUAAUUUCAAACCAAACUUAUAAAUUAUUUAUUUACAAAAAUCAUAACUAAUUUGAAGCACGAGCAUAAUUUUAUGAUAAAUAAAAUAUUAAAAAUUUAGGCAUAUAAAAUAAAUGUAUUAGUAAAAAGUAAUAUAAUUAUAAUAAUAAUAAAAAAAUAAAAAAUAUAAAUAACAAAAGAUAUAAAAGUAAAAAAUAAAAAAUAAUAAUAAAAUAAGAUUUAUAAUAAGAAUAUAGUAAUUAUAAAAAGCUAUUAAUAAAAAGUAGUAAUAAUAAAACAAAUAAUAAUAAUAAUAAAUAAAAAUUAUAACAAAACAAGUAAAAACGUUAACUUCGGUUGCACUUGAUUUUAAUUUUGAUCCUUCAGUUUGUAUGCCAGUGUAGUUGUAUACAUAGUAUAUGCUAUAGUGGUCCGAUAUCGACAGUUUCGACAAAUCAGCUGUCUCUAGGAAAGACCUUAUGUGUUUCUAUUGAGCAUUAAAAGUUCACGCUCCAACAACAACAAUAGCAGCAGUAGCAGCAGCAGCGGCGGCGGCUUCAGCGUUAAGAAUAAAUAACUGGGCAAUAGCGAAAACGAGUGAGUUUAUCAAAACUCAGCCAGAGUGGUAAUAGCGGCAGCAUCAGCGGCUAUCGGCGUGCGAGGAGUAAUAAACGAAAGUAGAGUCAAAUCAACAAGGCGACACUGUGUGCCAGUCACCGGUCAACUGUCACCAACACCACCGCCAAAUACAACAACCAAUAGCUAGCAACAAAACAGUUGCUUUUUCACUUACUUACUUACUUACUGCUCUUAUUAAAUCUUAGUUCUCCGCAAUUGCAAGUGCAAUUGUAUGCGCACAACAACAACAACAACGACAGCAAGAAAAACAGGCAUACAACCAGCUACAACUGGACAAUCAGUUCAUAAAGUAUAGCACUUGAAACUGAAUCUUCAAAAAGAAAAACACAAAUCAAAUAAAUUCUUUAAUUGUGGUGCCAGUGCCUGCAUCUAAAACGAGCGAGCAGAGUCAGCGUGUGUUGUUGUUAUUGGAUUUUUUUGAAACAGCGGAACUCUCACUCACACGUAUUUUUUUUUUUUGUAUUGAAUUUGCUAUUAGCUUAAAUUGAAAUUGAAAGCCAACAGUUAUUUGCAAAUCUUCUUCGGUGUUCUUCUAUCAACGAGUUGUGUUACAAAGAAUAAACUGUUAUUAAACUUCACUGUUCUCUAAAUUUCUUAAACGUCAACAACGCAUAAACCAAAUACAAUAACAACAUUAAAUUACAAUAAUCGGCAAUAAAGCCCCGUGAUUGCAACAAACAGCCUAAUUAUUGAGCGAGCGGUGCUAAGAAGUAGUGAUAAAUUCAUAAAAAGGCGUAGGCAAAGUUAGCAAAGUCGUUGCUGAAGCGCGUACAACAAAACAAAAAAAAAAAAAAAAACAAAGCAGUAAAUAAAUCAAUACAACUACACUACUAACUAAGCAAAUCAACUAAAGUACAGGAACAAACAACAACCACAAAACAAACAAUGGAACGUGAAUCCAAUCCAAUGCAACCUAUGUGCCGCUCCGGUUGCGGUUUCUACGGCAAUCCAGCCACCGAUGGUCUCUGCUCAGUGUGCUAUAAGGAUUCUUUGAGAAAAAAGCAACAACCACCUGUUAGCAGCACACCUGUAUCAGUUCCAAGCCCUCAGCCAAGUCCCACAUUCAGUCCAGCCAUCACAAUAACCAAUACAGCACAGCCGACAGUGCAAAGUUUACAGCUGCAGCAUAAUGAAAUAAAAGAGAAAAUAAACGAAGAAAGCGCAGCUAAGACUAGCACCGAAGCUGCUGCCGUUGCCGGUCCAUCAACAUCCUCCCAAACAGCCGAAGAUGAUAAAGACAAGGAGGAAGACAAAGAUGCAAAAAAGAAAAAGAACCGUUGCGCUGAAUGUCGCAAGAAAGUUGGUCUUACAGGUUUUCAGUGCCGAUGUGGUGGACUCUACUGCGCUGUACACAGAUACAGCGACAAACACGACUGCACAUUUAACUAUCGGGAACAUGGGGCCCAAGAAAUUCGACGCAAUAAUCCUGUGGUAGUUGGCGAAAAAAUACAAAAAAUUUGAACUUUUGUGCCAUCAACUUUAUAAUAUAAAUAUAUAUAUAUAUAAAUAUAAAUAUUAAAUAUAUACAUAAAAAUUAAAUAUAAAUAAUAAUGAUAAUAUAAUUAAUAACUAUAUAUAUAUAAUAAUAAUUAAUAUAAACAACACUACAAAUGAAAUGAAAACAAAAUACCGAAAAGAAAACAUAAAAGAACUCAGUUAAGAAAGUAUAGUUUAUAGCGCAAAGAGUAGAGCGAAAAUUGAAAAACAAAAAACAAAAGAAGAGCUACACUUCAUAAAGAUACACAGGCACACGCAGAAACUUACAUACACAUAUAUUUAUAUAAAUAUGUCGAGAAUGAGACAAGUACCACCAACACACGGGGCAAAUUCUAAACUUGCCAACGAAAACGGCAUAUAGUUGCAACGCCCAUCCCAACUGCAAUGCCAUCGGCGCGCUCGCCCAACGCCAAAUACGACGAAUGUAUGCUGGAACAUACUGACAAACUUGCAUAAUGCACGGCCAAAUAAAGUGAAUACUUGAAAGCAGGCGUCUAAUGUUUGGCCAGCAGUGCGGGCGUGUGCCGCUACGGCAGUGUAUACACGCUCCAACCACUCAACGCAUGGUAAAUCACCGCAAGCAGCUGAGGCAGUGUAGUGCAGAAGAAGCGCUUGCUUGGAGCGAACACCUCUAUUAAUAUGACUAUAUCUCGCAGCGCUUCGGAUUCAAAGCGAACAGUGUAGCGGCAGCACAGCGCACGAUCAACUCGGCGCACUUCCAGCCGCCGCAAACCUGAGCAGCAGUGAUGAUGACGGCGUCUACGAAGAUGUAACUCACAAAACUAUCUUCAAGCACUUUCCAAGCCAGCGGCAACUCUGCAAAACACAGCACAGCAACAACACAUUGCGCAUAUGUACAGACCAACCACGCCCCCAUGCGACUCACGAGCGUACACAUUUUCACCGGAAGGAAGGAAGCUGGUUGCUUUUUGGCUGCGUUUAGCGUUUAAGCUACUAUAUAUUUCAAAAUUCAUACAGUUAUCACAACAAAAAGAAAAUUAAAUUUAUCUAGAGAACAAACAACACACCCACACACACUUGGCAAUCCAAACAAUAAGAAAACUAUAGAACUUUAUUAAUACUAAUUUCAAUUACAGCAAAAAAAGUAAAUACAAACGAAGCAAAUAGCAAAAACAAAAUAUUAAUUAUUAUUAAUACUAUUACUAUUACAUUAUAUUAUUAUUAUUACCAACACAAGCGAGACAGAAAAUGAGCUAAAAACAAGUAACAAGUAAAAAAUAAGAAAAGAGAAAAUUGCAAACAAACAAAAAAAAAAUGAAAAAAAUCAUAAAACAACAAAAAAAAAAUACUUUUACCUAGUUUACUAUUAAAAAUUGCGUGCAGGAGUAAACAACAUAUUUUAAUUAAAAACUAAAACAAAAAACUUAGUGUAUAGUGCAGUAAAAGAAACGGUAAACGAAAGGAAAAAAUAAGUAAAUAUUAAAUAUAAAGAAAGAAAAAACAACAAAAAACUAUAAAUAAAUGGAAGAUCGAAGCUGAAGAUGUAAGAGUAAUCAUAAAUGAGAGUAAAUGCAAAUGGAUUAAUUUAAUUUAAUAAAAUAUACAUAUUACCUACAUAUAUAUAUAUAUAAUGAUAAUACAUAGAUGAGUGGGCGAAAGCGAUAAAAGUUAUAUUUUAACUGACCUAGCAAUAUAAGAUUAUCUACUAUCUCACCACGGUUCGUUCUAUACAAAAAAAAAUCCAAAAAAAAAAAAACAAUUAAAACCCAUACUACCUUUUGUUGCUUUUCCAGUAUGAUUUUAUUUGAGUUUACUCCUUAAUUUUUUUUUUUUACUUUAAGCGUUAUUUAGUUUCUUCCCUCAAACUAUGAUAAUAAUAUUAAUAUUAAUUACCCUUCUUCCUUGUUUUAUGCUGUAAAUCAAUUGGAAAACGUAACAAAACAAACAAGCAAAAACAAAAACUUAGCAGAAACGCCGUAAAUCUGCAAUUUUAUUGUUGAAGUAGAAGUCGAUUUUUAGUUAAUUUUGAAGUAACUCGUAAUUAAUUAAUAAUAAAAAAUAUACAUUUUGAAAAAUUGCAACUUGUUUAUCGAAUGGCAGUGUGACACAGUUAGGCCUAGCAAAGUUAAAAAAAUAACAAAAACAAAUAUAACAGAUAAUCAAAAGCUUCAAAAAGGUGCGCACUGACGGGGGAGUACGUGUUGCCGCAAUUUUGGCAUGUGUGCAACGGUUUUGUUAGCUUAAUGCAUUACAGCAACGGUAAGCCUGAAAAAUAGGCAACAACAAUGCGAAAAAGAAACCAUAAUUAACCACUUGCAUUGUCUACUUUUCGGCGCUGCACAUUUUAUGUAAUUUUCUAGCAUUAUAUAAGUAUGUUUUUGAAUCGACUCUCUCCCCCUUCACCCUAGUUGCUUAGUUUGUUUUCACAUAUAUUUUUCUUCGCUUAAUUUUAGUUAAUGUAAAAUAUUUAGUGAAUUGCAGUUGACGACAUAUUGUAUAUGUAGUUUUAUAAGUUGAUUAGUUGUGGUGAAGUAAUAAAUACAUAAAUAUAUAAAAAAACCAAUUGUUUUUGUCGCCUUUAUUUCCCUUUAUGUACUUGUAUGUGUAUGUAUGGUAUGUCUUUUGGUUUAGCGAAAAAUAAUAGCAGUGUUGCUUAGAUUUAAACUAAAUAUAACAACAACUUCGUACAUUGGUUAUGUGCAGGGCAGCAAUAAGUAACAGUAAAUGAAAGCUGCUGAAAAAAGGGAAACAAUGAACUCUAUUAAUUUAAUGUGUAUGAAGGAAGGAAAUAAAUGCGUAAAUUGAAAUGAAUACAAUUUAAUUAAUAAACAACCAAACACCAAUCACUGUAAUUAUUUGACGAUGAAUAAAUGAAUGAAAGAAUUAUAAUAAAAUCUA